UACUGUAGCGAAAUUAAUGCUUCUGAUUCCUCAGUGUCUAUAGGUUAGAGAACAGCAAUUUAGCCAAGAUUCGCACUGCUGACGUCUUGCUAUGUCACGUGAGAGAAAUGGAGCAAAUAAAUUGAACCCAAGUAUCAUUUCUCCUUUGACUGAAUACCAUGUGAGCAGUCACUGCCUGUGAUCACACAUGAAGAAUACCACUUCGGGUUGUGUUGAGUCACUACAUUCAAGAGGAAUCAAGAGAAAUUUAGGGCUGAAGCUGAAAAAAAAUCAUCCGUUAAUGUCAGCAGCCUCUCAGCAAACUACAUGUGUGCUAAGGAAGAAUUUCUUCUCUCAGAAGGACUGAAAAUCUGGAAGGCAAGAGACUGGAGAACAGAAGAUCUUUGGAAUAAAAAUGAACACUUCAUUGAAGCUUGUAGACUAUGCUAAUAAACCGUGUUUUCCCAGGAUGAGGGCGUCGCUGGCUAGGCAGCAUUUAUUGUCCAUCCCCAAUUGGCCAGAGGGCAGUGAAGAGUCAACCACAUUGCUGUGGGUCUGGAGUCAUAUGUAGGCCAGACCAGGAAAUGAAGAGGAAUAGACUACGAACUGUCACUAAAUAAGCUUACUCUUUGCCUUGGAAAGGUUCUCUUCUCACUUCGACCUCGACAUCUAAUGGUGUGAAAAUCAGUCUCCGAAGGGGAACUGGAUGCCAUCUGCUGGGCUCGCUUCAUCUCCAGGGUCUCAAACUGUUCAAUAACCUGUGACCUCCUAUAAAGAAACAUGGGAAGUCUAAUCACAUGAAAAACGCACAAUAAGCAGUCAGUUGCCUUCAUAAUUUAAGUGAUAAAAGCAGUACAACUUCCAAAUCAUUCAACAUAUCUACGGUGACAUCAUAACAUGUGACAUUUUAAUUUUUCAGGAAGGGAAAAUAUUGGGAAGAUAACAAUACUGGAUAGCUCCACCUGUGUUGCCAAUAUUAAAGGAAACCUAUUUUCUUUUCAAGAUCCAAUGUAACUAAAAUCUACAUAGCAAAUCUACAUAAACCAUUAGUCAGAGUUCUGCCGCAUACAGUUUAGUAUCUCACUAAUGGUCAACUAUUAUGCUAGUGUUUUACUUAAAAUCAUUCACUUUGGAGGAUUGAACAAAUGUUUUUAGAAUGUGAAUUUGUUUUGUGCAUCAUCACACAGAGUCAAUGUAUUUAACAUGAAAAAAUGAAAUAAACUGUGCACCAGGGGCAGCAC